UACGUAGGUGGCAAGCGUUAUCCGGAAUUAUUGGGCGUAAAGAGCGCGCAGGUGGUUAAUUAAGUCUGAUGUGAAAGCCCACGGCUUAACCGUGGAGGGUCAUUGGAAACUGGUUAACUUGAGUGCAGAAGAGGGAAGUGGAAUUCCAUGUGUAGCGGUGAAAUGCGUAGAGAUAUGGAGGAACACCAGUGGCGAAGGCGGCUUCCUGGUCGUGUAACUGACCACUGAGGCGCGAAAGCUAGGGGAGCAAACAGG
rnacentral:rRNA from 1 species